GUCAGGCAGAGAGGUACCACUGGACAUAGAAAGCAAAUGGAGAGACAUGGCAAGGAGAAAGGAUGUCAGUACUGAAGCUACUGCUAAGAGCCAAGAAAGGGGCUGGAAAGAGGACUCAGCUGUCAAGAACACUUGCUUCCUUCCAGACAACUCAGGUUCAACUCCCAGAAUCUUCGUAGGGGCUCACAACUGUGUGAACCUCCAGUCCCAGGGGGGAAUCUGAAACCUCUUCUGGUCUGUGCAAGCACCAGGCACAAAAGUGGUACACAGAUACACACAGAAGCUAAACACCCAUACACAUAAAAUAAAAAUGUAAAAAGGAUGAAUUAAGAGUCCUGUAAACACCACAGGAAGAUGAUGCUCAGAGCCCCCGAGUACCUGACUGUUCUUGCCAUGGAUUCAUGGGACAGAACCAGGUAAUAUCCAGUAUGUAAGAACUUGAGCAUAGUAGAUACUCAGAAUGUGAGUUUGUCGUUGAUUUGUCAUUGAUUUAAAAACAAAUAGAAACAGGACAAUGUGUGAGCGUAAACACCUACGUGACAGGCAAGUCGGACAUUGAUUGUUGGUACAACCAUGUGCAAGAGUCGCUUGGCUACUUUCACUUCCUAUAAACUGUGUUAUUAUAAGAAAACUUUAAUGGGAAAGAGAACCUGAGAUUUCCCACCAUGUAUUCCAAGAUUCAAAAGGAUAAUAGAAACCAGUACUUAGAGGUAAUCUCUGGUCUUCUCUUCAAUAGAUUUUCCAAAAUUCUAUCACACAGAAACUUCAAAGCAAGAAAAAUGAGCCAUUUAUAGGCUGAGGUUUCACCAAAAUUUAUGCCUCAGAACAUAAGAUGUAACUAAGAGGUUCCAUCCAGGACAUUUUCCCAAGAUGAAAGGACUUAGUCUAAAAAGCCCAUCAUCCAUGAAGCAUUUAUGGAAGUCUAGAUUCUGCUAGCCAGCACAAGUUUCUCUAUUCUACACCACUUUAUAUCUUGGAAAUUUUGGCGAUCUCCUUAAAAUCAGAUCUCCAUGCUUAAAAUCAGCCAUGCUGAGAGGUGAGGAGGGGCUUUGUAAAGAGAUAAUUAGGACAUGAGUAUUCUGUCCUCCUUCACAGAUUAAUUUGUUAUCACGAGACAAGGUUAAAAUUAAAAUCAGAUCUUAGUCCUUAGGUAUUGAAUUUUUCAGUCCCUAGGACUGUAAAAAACCCCCCACAAAAUUUCUUUAUAAAUAACUCAGACCUUAACAACACAGAAAAGAUCAAGAUGCUGUGACAAUGUUUAAUGUUAACAUGACUAGAUUUGGAAUCACGGAGGAGACAUACUUCUGGUAUAUCCUCGAGGAUGCUUCCAGACAGAUUCCACAAAAACAAGUCUUCACAUCCCUUUUACCCAGGAUCUACUUUCCAUCCCUGCAAAACAGUGCCUAGAGAUGUAGCCCAGCUGGUGGAGUGCUUGUCUCUUGUGUUCGAAUCCCUGUGUUUGAUAGCCAGCACUACAUAAACUGGGUGUGGUGGUGUACACCAAUAAUCCCAGCACCUAGGAGGUAGAGGCAAGAGGAUCAGAAUGUCAAGAUCAAGACAUAGAGCACACUAAAUCAGUGGAUCAACCAAAAACCAAUUGUAACAGGGGCCCAGACCUUAGUGCAACUGACUCCAUGAUGCAAACGCCAUACUGUGAAACUCAGCUUCUCCAGUUUAUUGUCCUAGCCAACUCUUCCUUUCAUUUUGUCUGCCCUAUGUCUGUAUUUUCCCAUACUGGACAGGAUGAGAAGUUGACUUUCGAGCCUGGACUCCCACUUCUCCACUCACUGCCCAGUGAACAGAUUUGUGCUAUUAGUGCUCAGCCUCAGUUUCCCCUUUCAUUUUACAACACCAAGUAUGUCUCUUGGGAGGGCCUUCUCUCUGGGACCAACAGAUGGCAGAUAAAACCUCUCACCCCUUGCUCUAUGCAUCUUGUUUACCUGACUGCCCCUGAUCUGUUUCAUUUUAAAUAACCUGGUAAU
rnacentral:lncRNA from 1 species